rnacentral:rRNA from 1 species
CUUACGGGUGGCUGCAGUGGGGAAUAUUGGACAAUGGGCGAAAGCCUGAUCCAGCCAUGCCGCGUGUGUGAAGAAGGCCUUCGGGUUGUAAAGCACUUUCAGUGGGGAAGAAAGCCUUGGGGCUAAUACCCUCGAGGAAGUACAUCACCCACAGAAGAAGCACCGGCUAACUCCGUGCCAGCAGCCGCGGUAAUACGGAGGGUGCGAGCGUUAAUCGGAAUUACUGGGCGUAAAGCGCGCGUAGGCGGUCUGAUAAGCCGGUUGUGAAAGCCCCGGGCUCAACCUGGGAACGGCAUCCGGAACUGUCAGGCUAGAGUGCAGGAGAGGAAGGUAGAAUUCCCGGUGUAGCGGUGAAAUGCGUAGAGAUCGGGAGGAAUACCAGUGGCGAAGGCGGCCUUCUGGACUGACACUGACGCUGAGGUGCGAAAGCGUGGGUAGCAAACAGGAUUAGAUACCCGGGUAGUC